UACCUUCAUCCAGGUGGUGUCACAGAAGGCUGAAUGGGAAGCCAGGACACUGGGAUGUCCACCCAACCUGGGAGAGGAAAAGGCCUCCUCCCCUCCUUGCUGGGGUGUCAAGAGGAGGCCUAGUGCCAAGCUGGAACUUUCACCAUCACCCAGCAAUAAUAAGUCAGAGCAUCAGUGGAAGCUACGGAGCAAUAGUAAUGAGGCACUCCUGCCGCAUCCCAGAGGGGUAUCAGCUGACGCCGUAAAUAAUCUGGACUUCCACCCGCCACCCAACCGUAAUGAGGCAGCACUCUCCUUCCCCAACCAGCGCACUGGCAGAGGAGUCUUCCUAAAACAGAAAAUUUCAUUAAGAUCCAGAAUCUCAUAAUACCCAAAACUUCCAGGUUUCAAUCAAAACCCAUUCAUCAUUCCAGGAACCAGGAAAGUCUCCACAUGAAGGAGAAAAGACAAUCAACCAACGUCAACACCAAGAUGACAGAUAAAUUAGAAUCAUCCGACAAGGAUUUUAAAGCAGCCUUCAUAAAAAUACUUCAACAAGCAAUUACAAAUAUGCCUGAAACAAAUGAAAAAAACACAAAGUCUCAGCAAAGAAAUAGAAGAUAUAAAAAUUGUAACAUGCAGGCUGCACCCCAUACUAACCGAAUUAAAAUCGCUGAGAGUACCCAGCCUUCGGUAAUUUUUUUUAACUCCCGAGUGAUUCCAAUGAGUAGCCAAGUUUGCCAGCCAGUGCUCCAACUCCAUUAUUCUUACCAGAAAACACAGCAAAGACACAGAUCCAGGCCCCAUGUGACUUCAACAAGCCUGGGUUUCUGUAUUUGUAUUAGUUUCCAGGUGAUUCUGAUAGAUGACAAAGUUUGAGAAGAGCUGCAUUAUCCAAUCAAAGGAAUUUGCCAGUGAUUUCCCUCACUUGAGGAUGCUGCAAAAUUCUUGACCUGAAGGAGGAAAGAGCUGCAUUUAAGUGACCUUGAAGCAACAGGAAAGAGCAUGGGAAUGAGAUAAUAUAACUGGUCCUCAGAAAUGGAGCUGGGAAAAGCAAGGAAGAGGUGUGGAAGUUGACAGGAAGAAGAGCUGCACUGAGGGGGAGUGGAAUGCCCCACCACCGUUAGACAGGAAGGGCAUAGGCGAGAGCCCAAAGAGAACAUUCUCCAGGAAGGAAGGGCCUCCCCAAGCUCCUCUCCUGCCAGGCCUCCCGCUCUCCCACUUACUCACUAUCGCCUCAUCCCCCUAUCUAGAGAUCAUCAACACGCCCCACCAGAGGGGUCUUCUCAGGUGGCCUGUUGCCCAUUGGCCCACCGCAGCAGACCAGGCUCUGGUCACAGGCAUAACCUUGACAGGAGGGGCUAAGACCACCCCCUUUAAUGGACCAUUUGCCCAUUCAAUCCAACCAAGGAAGAUGUGCCUCAAUUUCCUCAUCAGCAAAAUGGGAACAAAAACACCUACCCUCACAGGGCCACUGUGAAGAUUAAAUUAGUUAACAUGUAAAAUGCUGAACACAACGCAUAGACCAUAGACUGCGGUGGGCACUUGAUACACAUUAGCUCCUGGUGUUUUGAAAGACACACAGCACAGUGGUUAAGAGUAGAUGUCCCAAGCCAAAAUGCCUGGCUUUGACUCAGCAAAUCUACCGCUUACUAAAUGUGGACUGUAAGCAAGUUACUAUGCCUCAGUUUCCCCAUCUGUAAAACUAGGAUAGUGAGAGUACCUUAAUUCACCCGGCUUUUGGGAGGACUAAUCACGUAAGAGAAAGAGCCUGGCAUAGUGCCUGGAACAUAGUAAGUGCUUUUUAAAUAAUAGCGAUUAUUCUGUUAGCUUUCUGUGAUGUGGAUGGCACGAGGCAGGUACGUGGGGAGUCCCCUUGGCCCUUGAGAAGCUUGUAGCCUAGAUCACGGACAAGAAAUGCACACGCAGGACGAGCAGGAAGAGCAGCACAGAAUACGGGACACACGUUAAUUCUGCAAGCGUGCAAAUAGCAUUUCUCUCUAAGGUGCUCACGCACAGGCUAACGGAGCUCAGAAUGUUCCGAAUACAGGGUGCACCGGGUGGCAAGUGCCCUCUUCUAGGCCACCCCUACGUUGGGAGUCCCAGGUCUCAUUCAACUCUCAAGGUUGAUCAUUUCAACAGUUCUCCUGGAAAGCACUGUAGCUUCAAGAAUAAACGGGGUUAGCCACCGUCCAUUCUCAUGGAUGGACCAAAAGGGUAUAAGACUCACAAGUCUCGUUAAAGUGCUACAGAAAAUCAACCGGAUCACACACAGGAGCUAGAGGAGCAGGCAUUCUACAGGAUGUCAACACUUUGGGCUCAGAACUCCCUGGAAGGACCAUUUUAAGUAACUUUUAAAGCCAGCGGCUCCAGUGCUUGAAAGGAAACACGAUGCUGAAUAUAAAAAUUGAAAAGGGAAAUGUAAGCAUCACAAGGUAUUAAUUAAUCCCAUGAUGCAAGAUUUCUGCUGCUUAGAUUACCUCUGCUUCAAGAAUUAUUUAUCCAAGAAAUUCAGAGAACGACAGGGAAGACAGACAACAUACUGUACUUAACAAGAUUCUGUGAUUUUUAAUCCUAACGAGGAUUAAAGGGCUGGAACAAAUGUGAUGGGGGCAGGCACCAGAAGCUAGUUAACCCCUUUUUAUUCCUUCCCAACAAGGCUGACAGCUAUUUUAAGCCCACAAAGUAGUCACGCUGUCUGAUUUGCAACUUUGGGAAUCAGACAGCUAGAUUUUUUUAAGCAGGCAUGUAAAAUGAAGAUAAUACACUACUGGGCCUCUGAUUUAUAAAAGAACAGAGCGUACGACAAUUCCAGAGAUUAAAACCAUGCACAGAUGAAACAAAUUGCAAUUUGUAAGACUAAAUAACAACAAUAAGAACAGCAACGGACUCUGUGCCAGGCACUGUGCUCAGCAUUUGCAAAUAUCACUCGUUUACUCCCUCUCAUUAACCCUAAGAGGUAUGUGAUACUGGAUUUCCUCCUUUUACAGAUGAGGAUACUAAACGAGGGAUGUUAAGUAACUGGCACAAGGUCACACAGCAAGUGCGAGACAGAGCCGGGAUUCGAACCCAAACACAGUUGGCCUCCUGAAUCCUUGCUGUUACGCUGCCAACCAAAUUCAUGUCCUAAAAACUAUAAAAUAGCAAAUUAAAGGAAAUAAAACAAUGAAUGGGGGAAAGGCAUCAAUUCAUUAACCAGAACACAACUGGUUGAAAAUGUUUUUCACUAAUGACCA
rnacentral:lncRNA from 1 species